CCGCCGAGCCCUCGCCCACCCGGAACUCUCGCUGGCCCGCAAGCGCCGCGCGCAGCCCCGGUUCCCACCCUCGUCUCUCCCUCCACACCUCCCCGGAAGCUGAGGGAGCCGGCUCCGGCCUUGGCCAGCCCAGAAAGGGGCUCCCACAGUGCAGCGGCGGGCUGAAGGGCUCCUCAAGCGCGGCCAGAGUGGGCGCCAAGGCCGAGGAGGCGCCGAGAGCGAGCAAGGGCUGCGAGCGCUGCCAGCAUGCUGUCACCUCUCAACAACACCAUUGACAUUUUGUGCAGCUGAAGGCAGCAGGCCAGAUGGACAAUGUGACUAAUGUGGAGUCACACUCCAGAAGGAGUCAGAUGCAUGCAUUCUGCUUCCUAGAACGAAAAAGAUGGAUUUGAUGUCGUGAAAUGGCAAUUCUAAAACUCAGGAGAUAUGUUGGUGUUUCUGAGCUCUUACUCCAGUGUCCACUUGUCCAUAGAAUCACCUUUCACUUCUGGGGUCAGAGGACAGCUCCUGGAAUGAUCUCUCAUCUUACGGCAAAAAGGUAUCAAUCCAGCUACUCACAUGAUCAACUCCUCCAGUUCAUUGGUGAAUCUCCUGAAGUAACUUCUUCUUAGUGGAUAUCUAUGAUCACUCUAUUUAAAAUAGUCCCCUUUAUUCCUCAUCUCUUACACUCAAUUUUUUCUUUUUUUCUUUCAAUUGCUUGUCAUGCCUUUCCCUAGACUAUGAACUUAAUGUGAAGUUUGUCUUACUUACCAUGAUAUCCCCAGAACCUAGAAUAAGUAUAUGUCCAUACAUAUUUUUGAAUACCUGAAUAAAUAAACAUUUGUUUUUUUAAGGGUAGAAUAUUUUACCCUGAUCUGCUACUUCUGUUUUCACUUCAUAACAAUUGGAGAUUUCUAA
rnacentral:lncRNA from 1 species